ACUCAGUUGCUUAGGGUGCAUUUCAGUUGACCAUUGCAGUCCUUUGCUGGCUACCAUUGCUUAGUCUUUCAUUGUGAGCCAAACUCACCUGCAUGUGGACUGUAGCUUGGUCUGCUGCUUUAGGUAACCUCUUCUCCCACUUCCAGGACCCACAGGGUGUAACCCUCCUUCCUUGACAGGAAUGUUUCUAGUCAUCUGAUAUAAAAUGCCAUGGUCAUUAUAUUUUUUAAUCACUUAAUAUAUGUGAAGUUGUAUAAAGUUGCUGUAAUUUUUAAUACAUUCCUGAUUAAUGUUUUGAAUGCUAUGCACCUAACACAUCUAUAAACCCUGUGACUUUUAGCAUAUAAUUGAUACAAUAAAGAGAUUGUUAGUGAGACAAAUCCUUUGUUACGACAGAACGUGGGCAGUGGAAUUACUUAGGGAGCUUUAAAGUGCUGACCCUAUGCUCUGUGUGAGAAGCAUGCUUCAUCUGGCUUUCUGGUCAUGAAUCCCCAAAGUGAUAUUUCUAAAAGACUCAAUUAUUUAUGAUUGCAGCCAGGUUAGAGAUGGGCUGGAGCAGGGUAACCAAUUUGAAGAAAAUGUAGAGAAGUUUUUAUGAGUGGGCCACAUCUAAAGAUUCCUUUGUACUUGGAGUUGAGUCUUUGAAAACUCUGUUUUAUGGAAAUUUAAUGAGUUGUUUUCUGGAUUUCUGUAUCCCCUAAGGACUUAGAGACUCCCGCAUUUUCCUUAUGUAAUAGGCAAACUCAAAUAAAAAUAGUUGCUUUAGAGGAUCAUUUAUUUUGAGUUAUUGUGUAGUGCAGAAACUAUGCAUUCUUCAUGGAAUUUUAAUGUUGAGUUUGUGAAAAUAUUCAACCAAGAUGAAAGCAAUCAAGUACAUGGAGGAUAUAAUCUAUAGCACAAAGCUAUUUCUGACAGUUAUUAUUUAGGUAUUUUCAAGCUUGAAUCAUCUUGUUGAGAACCCUCAGUGCUUUGCUGUAAUUAUAGGCCCAGUAGUAGUUGUUCUUUUACUCAGUAUCCUAGAAUAUACACUUCUUGGUAUAAUAAGCCCAGAACACUUCAAUUACUACCUGUUCUGAGAAGCUGAUUCAUCUUACCACUUAUCUGCCAGCUCAAAGGUAAGGCAAGAAAGGACGUGUGCUUCUCUAAAAGGUGUAUGUUUCCUUUUAAAAAUGAUAUGUGCAUGAUUGCUUUAGCCACAAUUAUGUCUGUGCACCAUGUGAGCCCCCCAGAAGGUGGAGAUCUCCUGGCAUUACAGAUGGUUGAGAGCUAUAAUGUGGGUGCUGGGAUGCAAAUCCCUGUCCUUUGGAAGAAUCGUCAGUACUCUUAACUGCACAGCUAUUGCCAACCCUAAAAGGUAUACAUUUUCUCUCUCUCUCUAGUUUUUGUUUUCAGUAAUCUGAGCAUAUAGUUUACUUUGUAAAUGUUAUAUAGUCAGCCAUUUUAGUGUAGUUGAUACCAUUGGCCUCUAUUGGUUUCC
rnacentral:lncRNA from 1 species